CAGAUGGCAACAACAACAGAUAUAGUCUUGGACUCCUGGCACUGAAAACAGUUGCCAAGACUGAAAUCAUGGUGAGACCUGGCACAAAUUAAAUCCUGAAAACCAGGGCGUUGCUACCUAUUCAACAAGUGGAUGGACACAGAGAUAUCACCUGUUUAAUGCUUCAGGAUGCUACUACAUGGGCUCAGUUAAUAAGAUACAGAUGAAAUGGGGUAAAAGGAGCUCCAUACGAAUGCUAGCCUCAUAUACUUUGAAAAUUAUGGGCCACUAGCAAUGUACACAUAGGGUUUUUUAGGGGUAGGUGAUUAGCUUCAUUAUUCUGGAGAUGGCCUCAAUUUUCAAAAGUCUAAGAAGUAAUGCCCUAGGGGAUGUAGGAUUCUCCCCUACAUCUAAAGUUUAAGACAAGAAUAUUCUCAGAUAAAGUUUUAAUAUGUUUUUAAAUGGAAGCUCUUUGAUGUUGCUCAGAAGUUUGCAACUCUAGUUGGAAUCUCCAAAAGACUAAAUUAAUGGGCACAGUACAGGUGAAAUAUUCAAAUAUACAAUAUAUAAUUAUCUGUUCAAACCAAAACAUGCUUCCAUUUGUCCAAAUUGCUAUAAAAUUUAAUCAAUCUGUUUGUCUAUACAGUACACACAGAGUUUCUUUCUAUCUCAGACAUGUUGCAUUUCUGAUUUUCUAAAAUGGAACACCCUUCCAAACAGUUCUAAUUAUAUGGCAGGAAAAUUCAUGUGACUGCGGUCAGCAGAACUUGGACGUGAGUCUCUAAAUAUCAUUCCUCAUCUGAAUGGUAGACUGUGAGCUUAUAAUGGGUUUUAUUAUAAUGGAAGACAACUCCUUACUGAAUGACAUCACUUGUUUUGCAGGAGAUAUACUGAUAGACUGGGGCAAUCAGACGAAGUUUUUUUUGUCAACAUAAUGGUAUUACUAAUUCCCCCGUGGGUAACCUAUUAUGUACACAUUAAUAUACUGAUGUAUGGUACUCAUCGUAUUGUUAAAGAUUUAGGAUCCUAAGCAUAUUUCUGUACUUAAAGGAAAGUGGAACAGACUUAGCUGCGGAGAAGACUAUAUAAAAUGGUUGGUGCCAGCUAUAUUAUCCCAGUACUCUGAUAUGUUUUGGUUUUUAAACUAGUACUCACACUCCCCAACCAUACUCCCCAACUAUAGUACUGGAAUUCUUUAAAAACAGAGGUCUGUGGAGUGAGCAGGAAUGGGUGUCAGAUUCUUGGCAGGAAAACCAACGUAUUAUUCCCAUAAGAGUUGGGAAGAAUUAUUAAGAGAAUUACACAAUGUAAAUAUACAUGUUCAGUUGAAAUGGUAGCUUACUGAAAAUAAGGUACUGAAAGAUAUUUAAUUCACAUGGAAAUUUUGAGCCACACUGGCCUGGUUUGCAAGACACAAUAAGCCAAAUGAUAGCUUGCCAAGACUAUGCAAGCAAGCAGGCUCCUGGAUAGGAGUCUGCAGCUGCUUUGCCUCUCUCUGGCCUUUUUAGUACUUCUAUGAUACGUCAAGAUUUAGCUUAGUGGGUAGUCCAAACCCAGACUUGUAGUUAAGCUGUAGCCAAAGCUUGUUUGUGAGCAGAGAACUUAACCAUGAGCCCAUGUUUGGAGGGCAUGUUCCAGGGAGCAAAGUGGUUGCAUGCUUCUCUUCAGGAGUAUGCACAUUCACAUGCAGAAUGCAGUUUAGCUUACUGUGAUGUGCAAACCAAGCCACAACCUAAUUUGUGUCAGCAGAUUCAAAUACCCUGAUUUCACAUCACGGUCACAAUUAUGAUAAUGGCUGCUUUAUCAAACCUGUUGCUACUUCCGUUGUUAGCAGCUAAAGAUAGGUCUUUUUUAGGUUAUCCUGAAGGACAUUACUGAUGGCCAAGGCAAUAUUAACUCACAAGUUGUGUUGGCAAAUAGAAUAACUUCUGAUUGAUUGGUGGAAUGAAUGAUAAAUGGGACUGAUUAGUAUUUUAUCUUGUUUCCCCAGGUCAUGAACCUUUUAAUCUUAUUCAGCUAUACUAGAGAAUAUUCAAUGUCUCUGAAAUUUGGACUCUUAAGUCUCCACUAAACACAACAAAUGUAAAGGUUUGGAUUUUCUGUUUCAUUAAUGUGUUUGGGUUGGUCACUACAGUGUAGAUUUAAGCCUGACAAAUCUAUUUAUUGUUCCAUCAAAAGUGUCCAGUUGAUGUUCUGUUCUUCACUCUCUGGUUGCGUCUUCAUGUGGAAACAUUACAAAACUGAGAUUCCAUGUAAUUAUCCCUUUUGCUGAGAUUUAUUAUUAAUAAUCAAAAUGUUUGUGCAAAAGCAAACAACUUUUUGGCCAUUUCAGACACAUGCAAGGAAACAAUAUGUAGCCUUAAGAGAUUGGGGGGGGGGGGCAGAACUGCAGCAGAAAGACAGAAGAAGCUCAAGCUGGAGUUUUAGGCUUGCAGUCUAGCCGGUAUUUAUAAUGUCCUUUUCCUAGAAGUGCCAGAGAAUGGUAAGAGGAGGGAUGCCCUGAUCCCGAAGCAGGAAAAUUAACAUAUUUCCAGCUCUUGCUCAUUUUGUGCAUGUAAAUGCAUAUCAAGCUAUGUAAAUAAAAAUUGCACAAUUGCACAGUGCCUAACACUGAAUCUAAUAUUGCAAAUCCUGAUGGGCAGGAACCCCAAUAUUAAGCAGGUCAAAAAAAUGGCGAUUCUUGCCAGAACUAAAUUUAGUGCCAUAUGCAAAAGCAACAGGAAGCCAGAGCCCUCUCUGCACAUUGCAAGCUGUGAACAAGGCUAAAACAGAACAGAGUUUAUCCUAGCAUCUCCGCAAGUUCAGCUAAAUACUUGUUUUGAGAUAACACUUAAGUUCCAGUGGGCUGCUUAAAUGCCUGAGAGAAUGAGACCUAACCGAAUGGAGUAGUCCCUGUAGAAAACCUAAGUAAAUUAGAGAAGACAUAGACACAGCAAUGAUCACAGUGAAGAUGUGCUGAUAAGACUGUGAUAGUACUAAUAUAAACAACAAAUAUUUGCUGCAUUGUUGGAGGAGGUGAGCAUCGGGCAAAUUAUUUUCACUUGCUGUAUAUAAGUUCAUAUUAUUAGUUCAUUCCUCCCAAAAGAAAUAGUAAUGUAAUGUUCUGUUUUUUCACAUUAUUUUAAAAACUGUGCAGUCUUUGUGCCUUAUUUGUUUAUUUCAAAUACUUUACCAGUGAACAAAUGACACAGCUGAAUGAGACAUACAAACUACAAUUGAUUUAGAAGACUACAUCUAUAUAUCAAUAUGAAAUACGAAACAUAUUCAGAUAAUAACAGAAAGAAAGCUGCUAAAAGAAAUACCUAGUGCCCCAUAACCUAUUUAUUUAAACAAUUUUCACUACUAAUGUAAUAUUAAGAAUGGAAAGCUGCCAAAACUUGGCAGUCAGGAAUCUCUCUGGCAUAAUAAAACCAUGCCCUAAAACCGUAGCGGUAGAAAUCAACACAGUCACUUUGUCUCCACAGUACACUUAACCAUUUGCACUGGGAAGGUAUCAACACAAAGACUGCAGAAAGACCUACACCAGCUAAUGCAAAUAGUUUCCUGAUAUCAACAAAACUGUACUGAAUGCUUUUCUAAUCCCCAAAAGUCAAAUUAGGAGAUCAGGAACUAUCAGAAUCAUUGCAGAAGGUACAAAACUAUUUCUUGCUGCAUCUUGGAUGUAGCACUAAAGUGAAUUUGCACUCAGAACAUCAUCACAAUUAAGCAGCCAUUAGGUGUUUUAUUUUUUAAAAAAGAAUUCAGAAAUCAACUACUUUGGCAUUACUAAAUGGCUAAAUCAUGUUGUGGAUGUCACAAUUGUAAGUGUGAAUUAGAAUUACAAUGACAGACUCUCCAUUUUAUCAUGUUUUUCUAGUGUUGACAUAGACUUGGAUACCUGCAGGUAUGUAUCACAGCAGCCCAGGGAGAUAGGAAGUAAUUAUCAAAGGCUAGGAGUCAAGUCAAUACUUAAAACUGUAAGCCGUUUUUAUCCUAUUUCCAUGAAUAACACUGGGCAACAAUUUUUUACUUUUUGAAUGUUGUCUAGAUUUCUACAAAUGAUUUAGAGUAUUUUUGCACUGCUUAACCAGGAAAUGGCAUCCGUUUCUCUCCAUCAGGUCAGGUUUUUGUGCUAUGUUGAUUUGAAAAAAAUCAGACCUUGUGACAAAAUCGAUUACAUAUUUGUGGCAUUAUCAGCUGAUUUUUGUCAACACAUAUCAUCCUAAAUAUGUUUUUAAGAGAGAAAAAUGUUUUUCCAACAACAUAUAUUGAUUACCUGAUAGAAACAUUGAUUACUGUAAACUGAAUGGUGGGCAUUGAUAAAGGUAAGUACACGUAAAUUGCAUGUUGCUUCACCAUUUUUCAAACUUCAGGGCUUGAACUUCCGUUUCUUGGAACUCCUGGAAUGCUCAGCGGCACGGAGGUCUCUCUUCAGAGUCCAACAGUAGUCAGCCAUCAUGACUGUGUCCCAGCGACCCUGAUACCUGGUCUCCAUCUCUUUCAUGUCCUGAUGGAAUCUCUCCCCCUUGCUCGUCACUCAUUGAACCCAGGUUCUCAGGAAACCGGUCCAUAUGUGAAAAUAGGUAGUGCAUCUUGACGCUCAUGUUGCAGCCCAGGUUUCUGAAAGCAGUCAGCAUGUUGUUGACAAGUUCUGCGUAGUUUCUGGCCUUAUUGUUGCCAAGAAAGUUCUUCACUACCAGAACAAAUGCCUUCCACGCUUCCAGUUCCACUUCGUUCAUUGAGUUUCCGAACUCUGGAUCUCUGAUGAGCUGACGGAUCUGAGGACCGUCAAAGAUGCCAGCUUUCAACUUCUCCAUGGUCAAUCCUGGAAAAGCCUGGCACAAGUAAGUGAAGCAGUCACCAUCCUUGUCCAGAGCCUUGGUGAACUGCUUGAUUAAGCCGAGCUUGAUGUGCAGCGGUGGGAAGAGUAUUCUGUCUCUGUCCACCAGAGGGUCGUUGAUGACGUUCCUUUCUUUGCAAGGCACCAGUUCCUCCCGCACAGGCCAGUCCUUCUUCGUGUAAUGCUGAGCACGGUCCCUACUAUCCCACAUGCACAGAAAACAUGGGUACUUGGUGAAGCUAGACUGUUGUCCCAACAAAAAGUUCACCAUCUUCAGGUGAACACAAAUAAACCACUUAUGCUGAUCAUAACCAAUUUUCUCCAGCACAUCCUUCACCGCUUCAUAGUUCUCCUUCAGUGUACUCGAGUGAGCCAGGGGUAUAGAGGCAAACUGGUUGCCGUUGUGUAGCAGAACACAUUUCAGUGAUCGCUUGCUGCUGUCAAUGAACAGUCUCCAAUCUUUGGGUUCGUACUGUGGCACUCCAAGCUUGAGCAGAAGCUGUGCAAUAUCUGCACAGUACACCAAGUCCUUCUCUUCCGAGAAAAAACAAAGGUACUCUUGAUGCCUGUUGUGGAAGAAGCUGAUGCGAGCACUGUCAGAGAGGAGAUUUUUUUCCUUCACUCUAGAUGCCAACAGUUCGGCAGAGUCCUUUGACAAGCUGAGGUCGCGAACUAGAUCAUUCAACUCCUUUUGGGAAAAUGGAUGUGGAGCAUCAUCUUCAAGAACCACUUCUUCUUCUUCGUGUCCUUCAACACUGGAGGCAUCUUCGUCACUAAAGUCAGGAAGUUCUCCAAAGAUAGGCACUGGAAUUUCAUCACAAUGAGCUACAGGAUGACGUGCUGAUUGAAGAUCAGGAUACUUGAGGCUGCUCUGGUUCUUUCUGUUGAUCCCAGUCACAUCAACAGCGCAGAAGUAGCAGUCAGUGACAUGGUUUGUCGGCUCCCUCCAAACCAUGGGAAUUCCAAAGUUCAGACUCCUCUUGCCAUUGGUCCAUCCAUGUAGAGUCUCGGUGUAUGCCUUGCACACCAUGUGUGGCACCCAAGCUUUAUCCUGGUCACCAAGUUUAAUACCAAAAUAAGCAUGGUAAGCACGCCUUAUAAAACUUGUGCACCAAUUUAUGGAAGAUUUAGAGGUUUUAUGACUUCAAAUUGAUCCCUUUUCGACAUAAUCACCCAGAACUAUAGGACCUGAAUACUUCUUGUCAUUAAAAUAAUCAUUUCCAAUCAAAACAAUUAUUCGACAUGGCAUUUUACCCCCACCAACUUCUUCUAAAAUGCUCUACACAAGCGUACAUGUGAACAAAAACGUAAAAAAAGACAUGUGGCCAUAGCUCAAAAACUUGACCUGAUUGAGCAAAACCAAUGUGAUUUUUGGAUUCAGCGCAUCAGAUUCGUCCUAAAUCAACUGAAAAAAAACGCAGACAACAAAUUUGUUGUUGACCAGUGUAAUGUUUCUUACUUUAAAGUGCACAUGUAACUUGGGGUGGGUGGGUAAAAGAAGCAUAGCAUAAACAGUGGUAAUAAAAUUAGUCAAUUAGCUGAAGAUGACUUGAAUGUUUAAAUAUUACUUUUAAUAAAAUAAAGUUUCCCCAAAUGAGCGCAUAACAAUUACAAUACAGAUUAAUGAAUGUAAGUGGAGUUUGGGGAUUUUCUCCCCUUAAAAAACUAAUCUUAUCCAAAAGACUAGAUCUUCAUCGUAAUUUGUCCUAAAUAUUUUAUUGAUUUCAUAGCAGCUGCUUGAGUCCCCUUUUUAACACAGCAAUAUAUGGACGGAGCAAUCUCAUUGAUCUAACUAGGUCAGUGUUCCAACUAGGUUUUACACAGGGUGUGAUACAGCUUUUGCUGUCUCUGCUUCUCACACAGACACUGAUACACAAGCAGCACAAGGCAAAAAUAGCCUCAUUUUUACAAAAGUUUCUUGUUGUAUGAAUAGCUCACUUGCCAGAAUAGUAUAAUAUGUGCUCAAGAUGAGAAUGUACAAGGUGCAGCUACAGCAAUUUCCCUGGUCAGGGAUGUACCUUGUGUAACUUCUCUGAUCGUUGAAGUUGGAGCACUUAUCUAAUUUACACUUCUCACAGAAAUAUGUUAUUUGUAUGAGGAAAAUGUAUGAGAACAAAAAAUACGAUGUGCUAAUUGGCAGGACAGCAGCUGAAGAAGGAGCAAAAAGGGUUUUCUUGUGUGUGUGUGUUUCUUUGUGGCUGAUUAGCUGCUCUCCCUGUGCAAAGGUCAGAGGGGGCAGGGUUUCUGUUGAGGCAGGUGAUUAGCUGUGGGAGGAGCUUAUCAGAGCUUGCAGGGCAGCGGCGCGCGCAGUUUGAUCCAUCUUUUAGAUUUAGGGGAGCUAGUCUCAAACGUUUGUUGGGGGAGACCUAGGUUUUUUUGUGCGGGGAGUUAUUUGUCCUGUCUUCACGCUUUUUAUGAUGGAGGACCGCUGUAGCCACCCCCAACGACACGUUCUCAAGAUGGAGGGGGGAGGGAACAGCUGCAGUCGCCUGCGGUUCCUGCGCAAUGUUUGCCAUCUUGCCAAAGGUUGCAGGCAGCUUUACCUGCAGCAAUUGCAUGUUGAUUGCCCUCUUAAAAGACAAAGUCCAGCAACUGGAGGAACGUGUAGCUACGCUCCAAAGAAUUAGAGAGCUGGAGCUCUUCUUGGAAGCAACAGAGCACACCGUCUCCCCCAAGGAGGAGACAGGGGACUCCCCUGAGAAGGAGUCUAGUUCACCAACACAGGAGCCAGAUAUAUGGAGAAACGUGACUCAAAGAAGUAGGAGGCCCAGGGUUCGCUCUGAUUGUUUAGAAAUACACAGUCGCUUUGAGGUCCUCUCCCCUAGCAUGGAAGACGAAGAGCAGACUCCAUUUGAGGAUCUCUCCUCAUUACAGUCGAUCAGGUAUAUGAAGACGAGCAGCAAAGUCAGUCCUCAGGGAAUGUGCAGGCGACCUUGGAACGGACAGCUCACGGAAGAACCCUGACCAAACCUAAGAGGAGGCGUGUAGUGGCGAUAGGGGAUUCCCUACUGAGGCAAACAGAAGCAGUGAUCUGUGGGCCUGACAAGAUGUCUCGGGAAGUGUGCUGUCUCCCCAGGGCUAAGAUCCAAGAUGUAACUGAACGACUGCAAGGAAUCAUAAAACCCACUGACAAAUACCCCUUCCUCUUGGUUCAUGUGGGAACCAAUGACACUGCAAGCAAUAGCCUCCAGAAGAUCAAAAGAGACUACGAGGCUCUGGGCAGGAAAUUGAAGCAAUUAAAUGCACAAAUUGUCAUCUCAUCUGUCCUCCCAGUUGAACAGCGUGGCCCGGGGAGAGAGGGAAAAUAGUAGAAGUGAACAGCUGGCUUCGCAAAUGGUGUAAACAGGAACGGUUUGGAUUCUUAGAUCACGGACUGCAGUUUCUUGAAGAUGGACUUCUGGCAAGCGAUGGGCUGCACCUCACAACGGUUGGGAGAAAUGUUUUUGCCAAAAAUCUCAGAAACCUCAUCAGGAGGGCUUUAAACUGACUAAUGUGGGGGAGGGAGACAGCGCUCCUGAAGGUAGGAGUCCAUCAAUUGAUGAAGACGAUAAUCCAAAUGUCAUAGAACAAAUGGAGCAAACAGCACGCAGACCUAGUGGUGGGAGGAAAAAAUCCUUAAAUAAGAGACAUGGGGGAAUGAUUAAUGGACUUCAAUGUCUGUACACUAAUGCGCAAAGCAUGGGAAAUAAACAAGAUGAGCUUGAGCUCUUGGUACAGCAAACUAAAUAUGACAUAAUAGGCAUCACUGAAACCUGGUGGGAUAAGUCCCACGAUUGGAAUGUAAUAAUGGGGGGAUACAAUCUAUUUCAGAGAAACAGACCAGACAAGAAAGGAGGAGGAGUGGCGUUAUAUGUCAGGGAUGUGUAUACCUGUGAAGAGAUCCAAGAUUUGGAACCUCAAAGCCAAAGUGAGAGCAUUUGGGUCAAAAUUAAGGGAGAGAAGAAUAACAGUGACCUCAUUGUGGGAGUUUACUAUAGAUCCCCAAGCCAAACGGAGGACAUAGAUGAUGCCUUCCUGGAACAGAUGGCCAAGCAUGCAAAAGGAAGGGAGAUAGUAGUAAGGGGGACUUCAAUUACCCAGAUAUUUGUUGGAUGUCAAACUCAGCCAAGAGCAUAAGGUCAAACAGAUUCCUCACUGGCCUUGCAGACAACUUCAUUGUCCAGAAAGUGGGAGAAGCAACAAGAGGAACAGCCAUUUUAGAUCUGGUCCUAACCAAUGUUGAUGACCUGGUUAGUGGGGUAGAAGUGGAAGGAUCAUUAGGUGCGAGUGAUCAUGCUCUUCUGAAGUUUACUAUACAGCGGAAAGGAGCAGCCAAGCAUACUAGGACUGAAUUUCUUGACUUUAAGAAAGCCGACUUCAUAAAACUUAGGGAAGUGCUGGGUGAGAUCCCAUGGACAGUAAUACUAAAAGGAAAGGGAGUUCAUGAUGGCUGGGAGUUUGUUAAGAGGGAGAUAGUAAAAGCACAAUGUCAGGCAAUACCAAUGAGACAGAAACAUGGAAGGUGCCUAAAGAAGCCAGGGUGGCUAUCUAAAGAACUUUUAACUGAGUUAAGAUUAAAAAGGAUGUGUACAAAAAAUGGAAAAGGGGAAACCACCAAAGAGGAAUUCAAACAAAUAGCCAGCACGUGUAGACACAAAGUCAGAAAAGCUAAAGCACAGAAUGAACUCAGGCUUGCUAGAGAGGUUAAAAGCAACAAAAAAGGCUUUUAUGGGUAUGUUCGUAGCAAAAGGAAGAACAAAGAAACAGUGGGGUGACUCAGAGGAGAAGAUGGUCAAAUGCAAACAGGGGACAUAGAAAGGGCUGAACUCCUCAAUGCCUUCUUUGCCUCAGUCUUCUCCGAUAAAGAAAACAAUGCCCGACCUGAAGAAUUUGGAGCAAAUGAUUCAGCAGAGGAAACACAGCCCAGAAUAACUAAGGAGAUAGUACAAGAAUACUUGGCUAGUUUAGAUGUAUUCAAGUCUCCAGGGCCAGAUGAACUGCAUCCAAGAGUAUUAAAAGAACUGGCAGAUGUGAUCUCAGAACCGCUGGCAGUCAUCUUUGAGAAUUCCUGGAGAACAGGCGAAGUCCCGGCAGACUGGAGGAGGGCAAAUGUUGUCCCUAUUUUCAAAAAGGGGAAAAGAGAGGACCCAAAUAAUUACCGCCCAGUCAGUCUGACAUCAAUACCAGGGAAGAUUCUGGAGCAGAUCAUUAAGCAAACAGUCUGUGAGCACCUAGAAAGGAAUGCUGUGAUCACCAAUAGUCAGCAUGGAUUUCUGAAAAAUAAGUCAUGUCAGACUAACCUGAUCUCGUUUUUGACAGAAUUACAAGCCUGGUAGAUGAAGGGAACGCAGUGGAUGUAGCCUACCUUGAUUUCAGCAAGGCAUUUGACAAGGUGCCCCAUGAUAUUCUUGUAAAGAAGCUGGUAAAAUGCGGUCUUGACUAUGCUACCACUCAGUGGAUUUGUAACUGGCUGACUGACCGAACCCAAAGGGUGCUCAUCAAUGGUUCCUCUUCAUCCUGGAGAAGAGUGACUAGUGGGGUGCCACAGGGUUCUGUCUUGGGCCCGGUCUUAUUCAACAUCUUUAUCAACGACUUGGAUGAUGGACUCAAGGGCAUCCUGAUCAAAUUUGCAGAUGACACCAAACUGGGAGGGGUGGCUAACACCCCAGAGGACAGGAUCACACUUCAAAACGACCUUGACAAAUUAGAGAACUGGGCCAAAACAAACAAGAUGAAUUUUAACAGGGAGAAAUGUAAAGUAUUGCACUUGGGCAAAAAAAAUGAGAGGCACAAAUACAAGAUGGGUGACACCUGGCUUGAGAGCAGUACAUGUGAAAAGGAUCUAGGAGUCUUGGUUGACCACAAACUUGACAUGAGCCAACAGUGUGACGCGGCAGCUAAAAAGCCAAUGCAAUUCUGGGCUGCAUCAAUAGGAGUAUAGCAUCUAGAUCAAGGGAAGUAAUAGUGCCACUGUAUUCUGCUCUGGUCAGACCUCACCUGGAGUACUGUGUCCAGUUCUGGGCACCACAGUUCAAGAAGGACACUGACAAACUGGAACGUGUCCAGAGGAGGGCAACCAAAAUGGUCAAAGGCCUGGAAACGAUGCCUUAUGAGGAACGGCUAAGGGAGCUGGGCAUGUUUAGCCUGGAGAAGAGGAGGUUAAGGGGUGAUAUGAUAGCCAUGUUCAAAUAUAUAAAAGGAUGUCACAUAGAGGAGGGAGAAAGGUUGUUUUCUGCUGCUCCAGAGAAGUGGACACGGAGCAAUGGAUCCAAACUACAAGAAAGAAGAUUCCACCUAAACAUUAGGAAGAACUUCCUGACAGUAAGAGCUGUUCAACAGUGGAAUUUGCUGCCAAGGAGUGUGGUGGAGUCUCCUUCUUUGGAGGUCUUUAAGCAGAGGCUUGACAACCAUAUGUCAGGAGUGCUCUGAUGGUGUUUCCUGCUUGGCAGGGGGUUGGACUCGAUGGCCCUUGUGGUCUCUUCCAACUCUAUGAUUCUAUGAUUCUAUGAUUCUAAUUGACUCAGAAUUUGUUAUCCCAACAAAAACUUCCAAAUGUGCCAGUUUGGGCUUUUAGUGACCAUUAGAUUGUGCAGAAAACAGAGAGUUGGUGAUUAGAGUUUGGACUAGGACUUAGGAGAGCAUGAUUCAAAACCCCACUCAGCCAUUGGGUAACCUUGAGCCAGUCACUGUCUCUCAGCAUAAUCUACUUCACACAGUUGGAUAAAAUGGAACAGGGGAGAACCAUGUACACCAUUUUAAGCUCCUUGAAGGAGAGGGUGGAUAUAAAAUGAUAAUGGUAAUAACCCAUACACAUAUACACUAAUAGGGAAAGGGAAAGCAGUUGGAAGGGAAGAGAAGGAGAAUAAGAUUGCAUCUGGCCUGCUAGUUCCAAAUGCACAUUUUGGUCUGAAGUAUGGGGAAUGAGAGACACAAUAUGUCCAUAUGGUACUAUGAGCCAGUGUGGUGUAGUGGUUAAGAGCGGUGGACUCGUAAUCUGGUGAACCGGGUUCAUGUCCCCGCUCCUCCACAUGCAGCUGCUGGGUGACCUUGGGCUAGUCACACUUCUUUGAAGUCUCUCAGCCUCACUCACCUCACAGAGUGUUUGUUGUGGGAGAGGAAGGGAAAGGAGAAUGUUAGCCGCUUUGAAACUCCUUCGGGUAGUGAUAAAGAGGGAUAUCAAAUCCAAACUCUACUAUGGCCAUCCUCCAAUGUUUUACUUUAUUGUACAUUUUGAAAAUAAUUUUUUAUAGUUUUUCAUACCCCCAUGUGUAACUUUCAGGUAGGUAUCUGCAAAGGCGUCCACUAUGCUUCUUAACUGGCAUACUAUUAAAAUAUUUCAAAGAAUUACAGAGAAGCAUGAAGAAUUGAGAAAGGGUAUAGCCUGCUUAAAGGGGAAUGUGGCGGAGCAAAGGAACUCAACAGUGCAUUUUAUCUGAAUCAAAAUGUAUGUUAAAAUAGCAGCAGCAAGUGAACAAAGGCAUC